CGAUAUGAAAAGUAGAAGGAGAGAUUGAUCAGCAUUAUUCUUCUGAACUGUAUAUAAAGGGGAAGUCUUCCUCUGCCCCAACAGGAUUCCAACGUCUCACAGACGAAGGCUUCCACCAUCUCAGUGAAGAAGGACUUUUUACUCCGUCCCUCAUCUCUUCCUCAUCUCUUCCUCUAUACAUCAGUGUCCUUCUCUGCUGCAAACAUGAGGAACCUGAUCUCUGUGGCUGUGAUCGUUACUGUGGCAUUCACAGUAGCAGGCCUGAAACUCAGAGGAAAAGAAGUUUGUGUCACUUUCUUUAGUUUAUUUAUUCUUCCACUGCAUCUGCAAAAUCAUUAUUUCAAUUCAGUUUGAUUUGAUGUUACAGUUUAUUGGUAAAAUGUUCAUUUGGUAACAUGCGUCUCUUCUGUCUCCCUUUCUCCCAACCAAAGGUGCAGUUUGGAGACAUGAUUGCUUCUCCACCUAAGU